AUAUCCUGGAUGCCUUACAGCCUUCUCAAAUGGCACUGGGCACCUGUGCAUUGGACAGGAAUCCUGGCCUUUGCUUUGGGAAGCAGCACGUUCCUGAAGGGCCACAGCAGUGUGGUCAUGGCCACAGCCAAGCAUGGCAGCAGUGAGCAAGUUGGACACAUCUUUGAACAGGACGAUUGAAGUGUUUUGGUUUGGUUUGGUUGGAAGACUGUACUAGCUUGCCAGAGGGAAUUCAGAGGAAACUAGAAUACUUUCCCAAAGAGAAGCAAGGUUAAUGGAGGAAGAGGAAUGCUGUCUUAGAAGAUGAAGCAUAUGGACAGACUUCAGAAAGCACAGAGAAAUAAAUUAAUUCCUCAUGGAAGGUGCUUUAUGGAGAACUCCUUUUUAUCUUCACGAGUCCUAGAGAAACAGCAGUGGCCUCCAAUGCCUUACUUCACCCUUAAGCUGAUCCCCUGCAUGUGUCUCUUGCAUAAGGAGCUCUGUUUGAUUGCUCUUCUUUUCUGUGGAGAUCACCUGAGCUGAGUGUUUGCUUCACAGAGGUGUUCCCCCCCCUUUAUUUUUCACUUGUUCAGAGUGGUUAGUCAUUGAGUAGGUAUAACCAGGUCAGCAGACACAGAUCUACAAAUGUUGAUGACAUGAUAGCUUUUAUUACCAAUAAGUGUGCAAUUUUACUGAUGGUACCUGAACAAUCAUUUUAAGUUGAAGUGUUUUCUAACCAGCAAUAUAACAAUUUGCCUGGAAUUUGCUAUAUAAAGUUAUAUAUGAUAAAUAUGCCUUGAUUCAGUAGAAAUAUAAUUUUAUGAAAUCAGUUUUUGUCAUGCUUUUAGUCCUGAUGAAUUUAUAGUAGUAUUUUCCCUCUAGCAGGACUUGACUGAAGUCUUUUGCCUUUCAUUAUAACAAUUAAAUUUCUUUUACACAUUUUAACCAGUAAUUUGUUUCAAAGUACUUUGAUAUGCUCUGCUCAGUUGGAAGACAUUAUAGAAGGAUUUUAUUGCUUUCAAAACAGAGUGAAUGCUUAAAAACAUAAAUAAUAAUUCAAAUUUAGAAAUCGCUUGGCUCUAGCUGUCUUUAUGUUCUUGCUCAAUGCAACACUGUGUGAAAGACUUGGUCACAAUCUGGAACCCUGCUGUGCUAGAAGCUGUAUUGACACUGGACAAAAAGGUAGCACUGUUAUGAAGUGCUUUCAGUUUUCCCACAAACACUUAUGCAAUUAAAU
rnacentral:lncRNA from 1 species